GCCAGUGUGGCCUAGUGGUUACAGUGCCAGGCUUGGCCUGGGAGACCAGGGUUCAAAUCCCUAUUCAUGAAGCU